rnacentral:rRNA from 1 species
UACGAAGGGAGCUAGCGUUGUUCGGAAUCACUGGGCGUAAAGCGCACGUAGGCGGGUUUGUCAGUCAGGGGUGAAAUCCCGGAGCUCAACUCCGGAACUGCCCUUGAUACAGCAAGCCUUGAGUCCGGAAGAGGUAGGUGGAAUUCCUAGUGUAGAGGUGAAAUUCGUAGAUAUUAGGAAGAACACCAGUGGCGAAGGCGGCCUACUGGUCCGGCACUGACGCUGAGGUGCGAAAGCGUGGGGAGCGAACAGG